rnacentral:rRNA from 1 species
CCUACGGGAGGCAGCAGUGAGGAAUAUUGGUCAAUGGACGCAAGUCUGAACCAGCCAUGCCGCGUGCAGGAAGACGGCUCUAUGAGUUGUAAACUGCUUUUGUACGAGGGUAAACGCAGAUACGCGUAUCUGUCUGAAAGUAUCGUACGAAUAAGGAUCGGCUAACUCCGUGCCAGCAGCCGCGGUAAUACGGAGGAUUCAAGCGUUAUCCGGAUUUAUUGGGUUUAAAGGGUGCGUAGGCGGUCGGAUAAGUUAGAGGUGAAAUCCCGAGGCUCAACUUCGGAAGUGCCUCUGAUACUGUUCGGCGAGAGAGUAGUUGCGGUAGGCGGAAUGUGUGGUGUAGCGGUGAAAUGCUUAGAGAUCAUACAGAACACCGAUUGCGAAGGCAGCUUACCAAGCUACUUCUGACGUUGAGGCACGAAAGCGUGGGGAGCAAACAGGAUUAGAUACCCUGGUAGUC